rnacentral:rRNA from 1 species
CCCUUAGAUGUUCUGGGCUGCACGCGCGCUACACUGAUGCACUCAACGAGUUUACGACCUUGCCCGAUAGGAUUGGGUAAUCUUUUUAAAAUGCAUCGUGAUGGGGAUAGAUUAUUGCAAUUAUUAAUCUUCAACGAGGAAUUCCUAGUAAGCGCGAGUCAUCAGCUCGUGCUGAUUACGUCUCUGCCCUUUGUACACACCGCCCGUCGCUCCUACCGAUUGAGUGCUCAGGUGAAUAAUUCGGACUGCAGCAAUGUUUGGAUCCCGAACGUUGCAGCGGAAAGUUUAGUGAACCUUAUCACUUAGAGGAAGGAGAAGUCGUAACA